rnacentral:rRNA from 1 species
CAGUCGCCGCGGUAAUACGUAGGGUGCAAGCGUUAAUCGGAAUUACUGGGCGUAAAGCGUGCGCAGGCGGUUUUGUAAGACAGGCGUGAAAUCCCCGGGCUCGACCUGGGAAUGGCGCUUGUGACUGCAAAGCUAGAGUGCGGCAGAGGGGGAUGGAAUUCCGCGUGUAGCAGUGAAAUGCGUAGAUAUGCGGAGGAACACCGAUGGCGAAGGCAAUCCCCUGGGCCUGCACUGACGCUCAUGCACGAAAGCGUGGGGAGCAAACAGGAUUAGAUACCCCUGUAGUCCCUGUCUCUUAUAC